AAGCGUUUAAGGGCAUCUGGUGGAUGCCUUGGCGCCAGGAGGCGAUGAAGGACGCGGUAGGCAGCGAAAUUCUCCGGUGAGCCGCCAAGCAGGCUUUGACCCGGAGGUGUCCGAAUGGGGCAACCCGGCUGGAGUCAUAUCCAGUCAUCCUUUGACUGAAUUCAUAGGUCUUAGGAAGCGAACGCAGGGAAGUGAAACAUCUCAGUACCUGCAGGAGAGGAAAUCAACCGAGAUUCCCGAAGUAGCGGCGAGCGAAACGGGAUUAGGCCAAACCGUGUGCUUUCGAGCAUGCGGGGUUGUAGGGCCGCCAUAAUUGAUCCGCGACUAGAGAGCAGAACAGGCUGGGAAGCCUGACCAUAGAGGGUGAAAGUCCCGUAUGUGGUAUCGAAAGCGGCAUGGGCGGUUCCUGAGUACCGCGAGGCACGUGAAACCUCGUGGGAAUCCGGGUGGACCAUCAUCCAAGCCUAAAUACUCCCUGGCGACCGAUAGUGUACCAGUACCGUG
rnacentral:rRNA from 1 species